CAGAGGUGAGAGAGUCAGUUAGACUGAUAUUAUAGGUCGGCAAACUAGCGGUAAGAGAUUGUUGAAUUGGCAUAAUAAUUCCCAGUGGCAUCAUCCGUUUCAAGGAGCUGAAUUCAGUUGAUAUAUUAAUUGUCUUUGCUUUUGGCUGUCCUGGGUGGAAGCACAAUUUUAUCAGAUGAUCAAUCAGGCUAGCAAACUGAACAAACAAAUUGCUCCCACUGUUUCCUUGGCUGAACCCUUUUUUAGCUUCUUGUAUGAUUGCUGCAG
rnacentral:misc_RNA from 1 species